rnacentral:rRNA from 1 species
UACAGAGGUCUCAAGCGUUGUUCGGAUUCAUUGGGCGUAAAGAGCGCGCAGGCGGCUCGGUAAGUCUGCUGUGAAAUCUCCCCGGCUUAACUGGGGAGGGGUCAGCGGGAUACUGUCGGGCUUGAGGCAGGUAGAGGAAGGUGGAAUUCCCGGUGUAGUGGUGAAAUGCGUAGAUAUCGGGAGGAACACCAGUGGCGAAGGCGGCCUUCUGGGCCUGUCCUGACGCUGAGGCGCGAAAGCGUGGGGAGCGAACCGG